GAAUAUUGGUCAAUGGGCGGAAGCCUGAACCAGCCAAGUAGCGUGAAGGAUGACUGCCCUAUGGGUUGUAAACUUCUUUUAUAGGGGAAUAAAGUGAGCCACGUGUGGCUUUUUGUAUGUACCCUAUGAAUAAGGAUCGGCUAACUCCGUGCCAGCAGCCGCGGUAAUACGGAGGAUCCGAGCGUUAUCCGGAUUUAUUGGGUUUAAAGGGAGCGUAGGUGGACAUGUAAGUCAGUUGUGAAAGUUUGCGGCUCAACCGUAAAAUUGCAGUUGAUACUGUGUGUCUUGAGUACAGUAGAGGUGGGCGGAAUUCGUGGUGUAGCGGUGAAAUGCUUAGAUAUCACGAAGAACUCCGAUUGCGAAGGCAGCUCACUGGACUGUUACUGACACUGAGGCUCGAAAGUGUGGGUAUCAAACAGGAUUAGAUACCCUGGUAGUCCACACAGUAAACGAUGAAUACUCGCUGUUUGCGAUAUACGGCAAGCGGCCAAGCGAAAGCAUUAAGUAUUCCACCUGGGGAGUACGCCGGCAACGGUGAAACUCAAAGGAAUUGACGGGGGCCCGCACAAGCGGAGGAACAUGUGGUUUAAUUCGAUGAUACGCGAGGAACCUUACCCGGGCUUAAAUUGCAUUUGAAUGUUGGGGAAACCCAACAGCCGUAAGGCAAAUGUGAAGGUGCUGCAUGGUUGUCGUCAGCUCGUGCCGUGAGGUGUCGGCUUAAGUGCCAUAACGAGCGCAACCCUUAUCUUUAGUUACUAACAGGUUAUGCUGAGGACUCUAGAGAGACUGCCGUCGUAAGAUGUGAGGAAGGUGGGGAUGACGUCAAAUCAGCACGGCCCUUACGUCCGGGGCUACACACGUGUUACAAUGGGGGGUACAGAAGGCAGCUACCUGGUGACAGGAUGCUAAUCCCAAAAGCCUCUCUCAGUUCGGAUCGAAGUCUGCAACCCGACUUCGUGAAGCUGGAAUCGCUAGUAAUCGCGCAUCAGCCACGGCGCGGUGAAUACGUUCCCG
rnacentral:rRNA from 1 species